GCUAUGGGAAUCUGGCAUAAUGGCUCCUGCAUGAAAACAGUAGCUGGUGGUGCCUGGAACCACACCACCACCUCUGCAGUCACAGUAAAGUCUGCC
rnacentral:miRNA from 1 species